rnacentral:rRNA from 1 species
UAGAGUUUGCUUCUGGCUCAGGAUGAACGCUAGCUACAGGCUUAACACAUGCAAGUCGAGGGGCAGCGGGGACUUAGCUUGCUGAGUCUGCCGGCGACCGGCGCACGGGUGAGUAACACGUAUCCAACCUGGCCCAUACUCGGGUAUAGCCUCUCGAAAGGGAGAUUAAUCCCCGAUGUUGUCGUCAUUCCGCCUGGUUUGGCGACCAAAGGAUUUCCGGUAUGGGAUGGGGAUGCGUUCCAUUAGCUUGUUGGCGGGGUAACGGCCCACCAAGGCGACGAUGGAUAGGGGUUCUGAGAGGAAGGUCCCCCACACUGGAACUGAGACACGGUCCAGACUCCUACGGGAGGCAGCAGUGAGGAAUAUUGGUCAAUGGGCGGGAGCCUGAACCAGCCAAGUAGCGUGAAGGAAGACUGCCCUACGGGUUGUAAACUUCUUUUAUACGGGAAUAAAGUGCCUUACGUGUAGGGUUUUGUAUGUACCGUAUGAAUAAGCAUCGGCUAAUUCCGUGCCAGCAGCCGCGGUAAUACGGAAGAUGCGAGCGUUAUCCGGAUUUAUUGGGUUUAAAGGGAGCGUAGGCGGGCUUUUAAGCCAGCUGUGAAAGUUUGCGGCUCAACCGUAAAAUUGCAGUUGGAACUGGUAGCCUUGAGUGUGCAUAAGGUGGAUGGAAUUCGUGGUGUAGCGGUGAAAUGCUUAGAUAUCACGAAGAACUCCGAUUGCGAAGGCAGUCCACUGGGGCACUACUGACGCUGAUGCUCGAAAGUGCGGGUAUCAAACAGGAUUAGAUACCCUGGUAGUCCGCACAGUAA